AGUCUUAAAACACAAAGAUAAUUUAGAAAAGAAGAUAUGCUCCAAUGGCUUUUUUUCCCCUAUUUUUAUGGCAUGAAAUGGCACGAUGGGCUAAAUCAAAGGUCAUUCGUACAUUAACAUCCAGGCUUUCUGUGGGUCUUAAAAAUUAUUCUUUCCACAAAUUAAUUUCCAUAAAUCAGAGCAGAAAGUCUUAAGUUCAUAAAAUAAUGGCAUUAAAUGUUGCAUUAACUGCUAAAUAAAUAUCUUGUUAGAUUCAAGACAUAAAUACUGGAGGAAGAACAGCACUUUUUUCAGUGUGAGUAGAAGGUGCAGUGAAAGUUAUUUUCAUACUGUUUGGGAUCAAGAAUAAAUUGGUAUGUAGAGCAUCUUUAUGUCACAGAUGCCAAAUAAAGGCAGGAGAGUGAAGCAGCAUGAUGGACAGGAGGAUGAGGAGGAGGAUGUGCCCGUCAAGCAGAUGAAGGUCGUGAACGGCUCCGCUUCGCUGUGAUUCGACUCGCCCCGUGAUUUCUUCCAGAGUCUGAUCGGUCCGGUCGGGCUGGACGAGUUCUUCCAGCAGUACUGGGAGCAGAAGCCGUUAGUCCUGCACCGGUCCGAUCCGGAUCUGGCCUCUUAUUACGGCUCUCUGUUCCAGCUCUGCGCUCACGGCCUGCGAUAUGCCACGGACCUCAACGUCUGCCGCUGUGUGAACGGCAAGAAGAAAGUGCUGAAUAAAGCAGGGAAAGUGAAGUUCAGCCAGCUGAAGAAGGACUUGGAGGAGAGGAGAGCCACUAUUCAGCUGCACCAGCCGCAGAGGUUUAAGGAUGAGCUGUGGCGCAUUCAGGAGCGGCUGGAGAGUUUCUCCGGCUCGCUGCUCUGAUCCAACGUCUACACCACUCCUGAGGCCUCGCAGGGCCUCCCGCCGCACUUCAAUGAUGUGUGCUGAUCCUUCAGCUGGAGAGACAGAAACACUGGAGGCUUUACCAGCCCACCGUCCCUCUGGAGCCCGAGGACCGACACAUGACUUCAUCCUGCAGGUCGUUUCACUUCAUGCUGGACGUGAUUCCCAGCUGUGUGUUUGACUGCAUGAGACGCGAUCCGGUCUGCCUCGUAACCUCCUGACGGUGAGCACAGCACUUCACCAGACACACUAGCACUGACUGUGGCUUUAACCGUGUGUGUGUUUCCUCGCCCCGAUGCCUCAGGCUCCCAGCUUCGGUCCUGACGUUAAGCAGGUGAAUAUAUUAUUUUUAUUUAUAAAACUGAGAGUUCCGGUGCUUGAUUCUGAUUGGCUGA